GUGUGUGUGUUAAGUGUUGAGGUGGUGGCGGAAGUACUGAAGAGGACUUGUAAAGCUAUCCUUUGAUAGCCAAAUUAUUCUAAUAAAACAGGAUUUACGCAUUGAUUGACUUGGGAACAAUUGUGCUUUUCCCCCGCUAGCCAUGCACAGUCUGUUUCUGGACAUUAUAAAUUGUCUUGAAUUAUGUAGUCCUUAGAUUUGCAAGACAGUAAAUACGUUCCGUCAGUCAAAACGUGUUUAAAGCGUUGAGAGCAAAUUCAUUACUGCAGUCAAUGCGUAACCUGGUCUGGGAACGGGGGCCAGUCCAAGCCAGUGGGGGAACAAUGGCCCCUCAGUUCAAGUCCAACAAAAGACCUGUCGGACUUGUUUGAAUUUCAGAGCACGUCCUUUCUCACACAGAGGGAUGGACUAUACCCUGGCCAGAAGCAGCAGCCCCCCCACCCCACACCAACCAAUGAAAAAAAAGGGAGAAAAAAAAACAUGCCGACUCUCUCAGCCCAACAGUGCACUUUUCCAUUUUGGGCCGUGGACAAAUAGGUUAUGGGAAACUUCUCUCCCUCCCUCCCUACCUCCUCUUCACUCUCUCCGGCUCUCCACUCUCCCCACUUCUCUCUUGCACUUGGAAUAAGCCUCGGCUUACAGCAGUGCAACUGAGGCUCGCGUAAUGAACUAAGUAUAAGCGGCAAUUUUAAACGAAGUGGUGUCUAAACAGCACUGCGUACGGGAGCUUGUUUCCAUCCGGGAUGAAUAAAGACCAACGGGUUUAUCCUGGAAAAUAAGCAACUCAGAAACAUACAGGGAAACUAUGGAGAGAAUUCAAAGACCUCCUUGAAAUCCAGCCUUUAUAGAGAAAACCUACACAAGGGGCGAGAUGAGAGGCAGCUCUUCUGAAGAGGUGAAGAUGGACAGCAAUCAGCGGAGGUCAAAGAUGUCUGUACCAUACCUCUUCGACAUUGGGUGGAACUAUGGGAAAACUCUGGACAUAGCAGUCUUCUUCCACAGCGCAAUAAAAGGAAAAUCCUGUUAUGGACAAGCUAAAGCUAAAAAUGACAGUUUAAUGAAGACUUGACUGUUUUUGUCAUGGCAACUGAUGCUUAAUAAGAGUACUGCCGGUUCCCCAAGACAAUUUCCUGCAAAUGUGAAAGGAAUGUUGGGAAAUGCUGAGAAUAUCUUCACCUUGCCACAAGUUGCCUCAGGGACCAGUACCACAGUGGCUGCACAGUUUUGUUUUAUGGAUCCCACAUAUCUUUGACAAUGUGGAAACAGGAUUAUAAAAAUACUACGCAAUCUAAAGCACUAUGAAACUACAACAUUCAUCAUCGAAUGUGUGCACUUUGAAAGUUACAUUUCCAUUCUGUGUUCUGUAUUGGAAAUUGUUGCUGUGUUUUUAUUUUACUUUGAAGAUUUGUCUUUAUUUUUCUAAUAAAUGAUAUGUUGUAUAAAACAGAA